UACGUAGGGGGGCUAGCGUUGUCCGGAAUCAUUGGGCGUAAAGAGCGUGUAGGCGGCCCGGUAAGUCCGCUGUGAAAGUCGGGGGCUCAACCCUCGGAUGCCGGUGGAUACUGUCGGGCUCGAGUACGGAAGAGGCGAGUGGAAUUCCUGGUGUAGCGGUGAAAUGCGCAGAUAUCAGGAGGAACACCAAUUGCGAAGGCAGCUCGCUGGGACGUUACUGACGCUGGAGACGCGAAAGCGUGGGGAGCAAACAGG
rnacentral:rRNA from 1 species